AUUGAACGCUGGCGGCAGGCUUAACACAUGCAAGUCGUACGAGUGGCGGACGGGUGUGUAAUGCUUGGGAAUCUAGCUUAUGGAGGGGGAUAACUACGGGAAACUGUAGCUAAUCCCGCGUACCAUAGGAUGAGCCCAGGUGGGAUUAGGUAGUGGGUGGGGUAAAGGCUCACCAAGCCGACGAUCUCUAGCUGGUCUGAGAGGAUGACCAGCCACACUGGGACUGAGAAACGGCCCAGACUCCUACGGGAGGCAGAAGUGGGGAAUAUUGCGCAAUGGGGGCAACCUGACGCAGCAAGGCGGCGUGAAUGAAGAAGGCCUUCGGGUUGUAAAGUUCUUUCGGUAGCGAGGCGUUAACUACAGAAGAAGGACCGGCUAACUCCGUGCCAGCCGCCGCGGUAAUUC
rnacentral:rRNA from 1 species